rnacentral:tRNA from 1 species
UGGGCGAUUAGCUCAGUUGGGAGAGCACCUGCCUUACAAGCAGGGGGUCACUGGUUCGAACCCGGUAUCGCCCACCA